GACGAACGCUGGCGGCGUGCCUAAUACAUGCAAGUAGAACGCACAGUUUAUACCGUAGCUUGCUACACCAUAAACUGUGAGUUGCGAACGGGUGAGUAACGCGUAGGUAACCUGCCUGGUAGCGGGGGAUAACUAUUGGAAACGAUAGCUAAUACCGCAUAAUAUUAAUUAUUGCAUGAUAAUUGAUUGAAAGAUGCAAUUGCAUCACUACCAGAUGGACCUGCGUUGUAUUAGCUAGUAGGUGAGGUAACGGCUCACCUAGGCGACGAUACAUAGCCGACCUGAGAGGGUGAUCGGCCACACUGGGACUGAGACACGGCCCAGACUCCUACGGGAGGCAGCAGUAGGGAAUCUUCGGCAAUGGACGAAAGUCUGACCGAGCAACGCCGCGUGAGUGAAGAAGGUUGUCGGAUCGUAAAGAUCUGUUGUAAGAGAAGAACGGGUGUGAGAGUGGAAAGUUCACACUGUGACGGUAUCUUACCAGAAAGGGACGGCUAACUACGUG
rnacentral:rRNA from 1 species